rnacentral:rRNA from 1 species
AGAGUUUGAUCCUGGCUCAGAGCGAACGCUGGCGGCAGGCUUAACACAUGCAAGUCGAGCGGGCGUAGCAAUACGUCAGCGGCAGACGGGUGAGUAACGCGUGGGAACGUACCUUUUGGUUCGGAACAACACAGGGAAACUUGUGCUAAUACCGUAUAAGCCCUUACGGGGAAAGAUUUAUCGCCGAAAGAUCGGCCCGCGUCUGAUUAGCUAGUUGGUGAGGUAACGGCUCACCAAGGCGACGAUCAGUAGCUGGUCUGAGAGGAUGAUCAGCCACAUUGGGACUGAGACACGGCCCAAACUCCUACGGGAGGCAGCAGUGGGGAAUAUUGGACAAUGGGCGCAAGCCUGAUCCAGCCAUGCCGCGUGAGUGAUUAAGGCCCUAGGGUUGUAAAGCUCUUUUGUGCGGGAAGAUAAUGACGGUACCGCAAGAAUAAGCCCCGGCUAACUUCGUGCCAGCAGCCGCGGUAAUACGAAGGGGGCUAGCGUUGCUCGGAAUCACUGGGCGUAAAGGGUGCGUAGGCGGGUCUUUAAGUCAGGGGUGAAAUCCUGGAGCUCAACUCCAGAACUGCCUUUGAUACUGAGGAUCUUGAGUUCGGGAGAGGUGAGUGGAACUGCGAGUGUAGAGGUGAAAUUCGUAGAUAUUCGCAAGAACGCCAGUGGCGAAGGCGGCUCACUGGCCCGAUACUGACGCUGAGGCACGAAAGCGUGGGGAGCAAACAGGAUUAGAUACCCUGGUAGUCCAUGCCGUAAACGAUGAAUGCCAGCCGUUAGUGGGUUUACUCACUAGUGGCGCAGCUAACGCUUUAAGCAUUCCGC